CGUCCUCCCUUCCCGCCCCCGGGAGCGGUAGGCCGCAGCGCUGAGGCGCCAUCGCUGAUCCUGGACACGCUAUCUCCUCCUCGGCAGCUCCGGCGCGCUACCCUCAGCAUCCCCGCGCAGCGACGGGUCCGCUCCGCGCCGCGGCCGAGCUGGAUGGACGCCGAUGGGCCCUAGCCCCUGCCCCAACCCCACUCACAUCCUCGGCGCCCGCCACAACCGCCAAUACGAGAUCGUCACACGCAAUCAACGCACCGCGCACGAAAAGGGGCGCGGCGCACGCUGAUAUCGUCACGCACCGGGGACCCGCUGAGGACAGGGCUUCCUAGGGCCCUCGGGAGUUCUUCCCGGAGGGACCCUUUUCCUCAUUCAGAUCACUGUGGGAGCUGACAAGGACCAUCUUCAUAAAAGGAAAUCGGGAAGUCCAAUUCACCCAAAGUAGAAGAAAUCCUCAAUCAGGUAUACCCAGGAGUUUGGGCAUCUGAAAUCCCAGGAUAUGAAAUAACAGGAGGACAGAGAGAACUUGGAACCGCUAGAAAAGAAGCCAGUUUUCAAACUCCAUGACCAUCGACCGUCAAGGAGCUCCAGACAUUCUUGGGAAUGACUGGAUGGUGCAGACUUUGAAUCCAUGAUUAUGGUGUUCUGCAUCCUUUUUGCAGGAACAAUUGACAGAACCACUAACACACGACUGCUUGGCCACUAUAGAGACUGUAUGUUUGAGCCAACCAGAUUUGAAAGAAAAACCUCUGGAAGAUGCUGAUUCUGGGUUUACUGAUGGUAGUAGCUUCAUGAAAAAUGGUGAAUGAAAGGCAGGAUAUGCCGUUACCACCACUUCACAGGAGAUUCUCUACAGGAGAGUGGAGCGGACCGCACUAGAUAUUAUUGACCACCUUUACAGUAGUGAAGAAAAAGGAACAACCUGCUUGGAUACAUUAUUCAAGAAUAAAGAAAGCACCAGAGCCAGAGAAGACAUGGUGGAUCGAACCUUCAGGACCCUUACAUAUGAAACUGCAUCAGUCAGAAUUUGGAUUUAUAUGAUAACUGGCAUACAAGCUUGGGACCAAAACUUGUUACUAAAAUGUUACCAAAUGUUACUAAAUUUUUUAAUCGUAGUGACUGUUGGGUGUGUGCACAGUUGCCUAAAUCAGGAGAAAAUCCAGACCUUCCAUUAAUUGGCAUUUCAAUUCCCAACACUAUCUCAUGGAGAAAUUUGUGAGUGAACACUAGUAAUCUACAUCCGAGGGAAAGGUUAAAAUUUGGGGUAGUUAAUCCUAAUCCAAGUAAAAAAUCUUAUACCUGUGUACAAAGAUGUAUUACACCGGGAACCAGAGUAGGAGAUCAUGUUUGUUUAAAUGCCACACAUGUAGGUCACUAUUCAAAUUCCAAUCACACUAUUAAUACAGAUGGUAUCGUAGUUCAGUGGUGGCCUUUUCUUGAAGAGAAAGGACGGUAUUGGUUAUGUGAAGAAAAUGUUUAUAAGACUACCCCGCAGCUGGAAGGGGGCAUGCACCUUAGGUGCUGUGAUACCCAAUCUUACUAUUAUUGACAUGUAUCCUUCUGGAACCUGGAUUAGAAGUUUUGCGAAACAGAUUAAGCAAGGGUUUAACCCUAUUGCUGAAUGGAGCACCACAUUUCAUAGUUUUGUGAGAUGGCUAAUUCUAUCUUUGGGAGUAAGUGAAUUAGAGAAGGCAAUCGUAAAUAUCCCAGCAACCAUAGAGGAAAUAGAAAGUAAAACUAUUGAUAUAAUCCAAGUGGAACAAAAAGAGAUAACCAGCCUGUCUAAAGUGGUAUUACAAAACUGAAUGGCUCUAGACAUGUUACUGGUUUCACAAGGAGGGGUUUGUUCCAUAAUCAAUGAAAGUUGCUGUUUCUACAUAGAUCAAAGUGGCAGAAUUGAAACAGAUCUGGAGGAAAUUUGGAAACAAACUGAAGUAUUUCAUGAAAUGGGCAAGGAGAAUUAUCCUCCUGGGAUGAUCAUCCUCUGUCAAUCCCCAUGUCUCCUGGGGUUUUGAAGAAAUAUGGAAAAAGUUAACUUCAUGGUUAGCUAAUCUGUCCUGGUUGAGGCAACUAGUUGCAGGAAUAUUGUUUUAAUAUCGAUUACUUGUGGUAUGGUACAAUGUUCCUUCUGGUAUUGUAAACGAUCUAUGAUAAAUUAUGAAGAUUGGAAGAGAAAUGAAAUCAAGCAUCAAGUAGAAACAGGCAAUUAUUUCAAAAAGUCUCUAGAUGAUAAUGGUAGUAAAGGAUUUGCAAAAGGAUUUGCGAAAGGACAGAAAAAUGGGGGAUUUGAGACAAAAAGGCACAAAAUCACAAAAUGAAAUAUAAAUCUUUGUAAAUAAGUAGAAUCAAUUCUAAGUAACAUUAAGUUUGAUGGCUUUGUAACAGUAGCAAUUCAAAAUAACUGAGGUGCAUGACUCAAAGACACAACUUCAAGCACUGCAUAUCCUGACCCGCCCCUGCCAUAACACCUGCAGCAAGGAAAUGGGCUGGUCCUACCAUGGUGCUUGGCUCUGAGAUGCAACCCAGAGGAGACAAACAUGCAGGGACCACACCAGCAGCACCAUCCCUGCUACACCACACAUGCAUGCACCAUGAGUGUGACACCUCCUGAGCCAUCAGCCAGGGCUGUGCCCAUGGGGAGGACAGGGAGGCAUGGGAGGUACUGUCAUUACACUUACACUUGUGCCAUCUUUACAACUGGUGUAUAAGUGGUUGCUUUUAUUUCUCCCAAAGGUACAAGACAGUGUCCUCUUCAAACGCAAAGUGCAGGCUCUGCAGCCCAAGGAGUUCCCAUGGAGAAGUUGUCACCAUGGGCCUCCCAGGUUCUGCUUGGUCCCCUUCCAGACCACCAAGGAGAUGUGAAGCUCUGUUAGGAACCUUCCAGCCUCGUGCACUGAACCACCAUUUGCCAGGGCUCACACUGAGCUUCCUAGGAUACUGAGCUGCUGCUGAUUCCACUCCUGAUUCCUCCCUGUGCUGCUGUCAGUGCAGAAUUGAUGUCCAGUUUGGGACACAGGGCACAGCCAAGUCUGUUACCAUUCUCUGUGCCUUUAGCAGACAGAGGGACCAGGCUGGACCCCCAGCUCCAAGGGGACUCUGUGUGAGCUAGGGACAGGGUUUGGACUGUCCCUAGUAGCUCUGGUGGGAAGAGCUAGCUCCUUCCUCCUCUCUGGCUGGGAACUGGGUCACUGCUAAAAGCUGGGGAUGGCACCCUGUGGAUCCACAGCCAGGGCCAUUAGCCCAGCAGCAGAGUACUAGCAGAGUCUGAGCACCACCGUGGGGCUUGGUGCUGUUAGGGUGCUGCUGCUGUCACCACAAGGGGGAUGUAGGUGCUGGCUAGGAGAGGUCCUGGGAGCGAUGGGCCAGCUGGAUGACUGUGCUAAGAGAAGGAUCGUGGAGCUGCACAGGGCUGGGCUGAGUUUCCACAAGAUCAAGUAGGUGCUGGAGCUGGAUGGCAUCCACAUGAUGCCACAGGCAGUGUACCUCUUCCUCAAGUAGAAGAGCGUGGAGCCAGGGCUGGUGGCAGCUGCCUGGGACACGGACCAGCCGUAGCCUCCACUGCAAAGACAAGAGCCUAAGCUGCCCAAGCUGGCAGGUCCCUGUUCCCCUGCAGUGCCUGGCGGGGACCCACUGGUCAGCCAGGGCCCCGCAGCUGGCCCCGACACCAAGGAGGGCAACCAGAGUGUCAGCCCAACCUCACUGUGCUGGGGCAGUGGGCAGAGCAGCGAGGCCUUCCCCAUGGGCCUGCCCCCCAGGAAUGGUAAGGCCUGGCUCCCCAGAGGGGUCACUGCCAUGGCACCCUCAGCAAUGCUGGAUCAGGGAAAGGGCUCCCAGCCCUGUGCUGGGUUGCCCCGGAUUCUCCUUUCAAGGUGUUUCUCUCGCUGUCCCUUGCAGGCGAUGGCAGCUCCACAGGUGCCCUCUUGGCUCCAGGGAUCAUGGUCAGCACCCACCAGCCCCUCCCCAGCCAAGAGUGGCCGAGUGCACCCCUGGCCAGGAACCCAGCCCUCAUGGUGAAGAAGCAGCUCGUGGACAGGACGAUCAUCCUGCAGUAAAAGGUCAAAGAUGACAGCACUCAGAUGGUCCUGCCGAACCCUAUGAGCCCUGGAAAUCCAAGCCUUGCUUGGGGCAGUUCAGUACUUCCCGUUGCUCCCAGUUCCCAUGCCAUUGCUGAAAAGCUGGAUGCUGUACAGACAGAGAUCCCAAAGCGGAGCCAGGCCCUGCACAUGCUGCUGCAGAGGCAGAGCCAGCUGGAGUGGCAGCAAGAGCACCAGCAGUGGCUGCAGCAGGAGGUGCUGGUGAGGCUGCAGCAGCUCAGCUCCACAGUGAGUCACAUCACAGUGCCGGCCAACCAGCCCUGCAUCCCCUUCAGCAACACAACCGAGCCCUCACUCACCAUGCCAAGCUUCAGCCAGUUCAAGAUGGAGCUCAUCUGACCUACUGUGAUGCGAGCAACACUCUAGCAGUGCUAUGCUGAUGGUAGGAUGAAGCUGUGGAGAAGAACCACCUCCCACAGGCUGUGGCUUAAGGACUAUGGGGCAUCAAGCAGAGAAGGUCACUGGUGGCUCUUGUCCUCAGGCCUGUUGGUUGAAAGGGGCUGCCUGGCACAAGAGGCAUGGUAGUGGAAAGCUGAGGCCCCACUUUGUGCUGCCUAUCCUGGCUGAGGCUGGCUGGAGGCCCAUGGACUACGUGGGACUUUAUGGACUUCAGCAGCACAGACAGGAGGCCGACAAGGAGAUGAUGCAACUAAGAGAGAAACAGCAGGGUCUCAAAGAAGAUGCAAGGCUUCCUGUCAUGAGGGUCAGUACCAGGAUGAUCAAUCAAGGACGCUUUGUGCUCUCCCGCUGUGGGGCCUUGUUCAGUAAAAAUGUACAUAUACCACAGUUCAGAAACAGUGUGGGAUCUCUCU